rnacentral:rRNA from 1 species
CACUGGGANUGAGACACGGCCCAGACUCCUACGGGAGGCAGCAGUGGGGAAUUUUGGACAAUGGGGGAAACCCUGAUCCAGCCAUGCCGCGUGAGUGAAGAAGGCCUUCGGGUUGUAAAGCUCUUUCAGCCGGAACGAAACGGUCACGGCUAAUACCUGUGACUACUGACGGUACCGGAAGAAGAAGCACCGGCUAACUACGUGCCAGCAGCCGCGGUAAUACGUAGGGUGCAAGCGUUAAUCGGAAUUACUGGGCGUAAAGCGUGCGCAGGCGGUUUUGUAAGUCAGAUGUGAAAUCCCCGGGCUUAACCUGGGAACUGCGUUUGAAACUACAAGGCUAGAGUGUGGCAGAGGGGGGUGGAAUUCCACGUGUAGCAGUGAAAUGCGUAGAGAUGUGGAGGAACACCGAUGGCGAAGGCAGCCCCCUGGGUUAACACUGACGCUCAGGCACGAAAGCGUGGGGAGCAAACAGGAUUAGAUACCCUGGUAGUCCACGCCCUAAACGAUGUCAACUAGUUGUCGGGUCUUAACGGACUUGGUGACGCAGCUAACGCGUGAAGUUGACCGCCUGGGGAGUACGGUCGCAAGAUUNAAAACUCAAAGGAAU